rnacentral:rRNA from 1 species
GACGAACGCUGGCGGCGUGCUUAACACAUGCAAGUCGAACGCUGAAGCUCAGCUUUUGUUGGGUGGAUGAGUGGCGAACGGGUGAGUAACACGUGAGUAACCUGCCCCCUUCUUUGGGAUAACGCCCGGAAACGGGUGCUAAUACUGGAUAUUCACUGGUCUUCGCAUGGGGGUUGGUGGAAAGGGUUUUUCUGGUGGGGGAUGGGCUCGCGGCCUAUCCGCUUGUUGGUGGGGUGAAGGCCUGCCAAGGCUUUGACGGGUAGCCGGGCUGAGAGGGUGACCGGGCACAGUGGGGCUGAGAUGCGGCCCAGGCUCCGACGGGAGGCGGCAGUGGGGAAUAAGGGACAAUGGGCGCAAGAGUGAUGCAGCGACGGCGCGUGAGGGAUGGAGGCCUUCGGGUUGUGAACCUCGUUCGCUCAUGGUCAAGCCGCAAAAAUGGUUGUGGUGAGGGUAGUGGGUAAAGAAGCGCCGGCUAACUACGUG